UAGAUGCGAGAGUAGAGCAUAUCAAUAAGCGGAGGAAAAGAAACUAACAAGGAUUCCCCUAGUAACGGCGAGUGAAGCGGGAAGAGCUCAAAUUUGAAAUCUUCAAGGUUUGACCUUGACGAAUUGUAGUUUAAAGAAGUGUUUUCGGUUAGAGGAGUAGUAAAAGUUCUUUGGAAUAGGACAUCAUAGAGGGUGAGAAUCCCGUAUUUGACUAUUCUUUCUAGCUUUGUGAUACACUUUCCAACGAGUCGGAUUGUUUGGGAAUGCAGUCCAAAAUGGGUGGUAAAUUUCAUCUAAAGCUAAAUAUUGGCGAAGAGACCGAUAGCGAACAAGUACCGUGAGGGAAAGAUGAAAAGAACUUUGAAAAGAGAGUUAAACAGGUACGUGAAAUUGUCAAAAGGGAAGCGUUUGACACCAGUGUUGUUUUUCCGAAAAUCAAUUAAAAAUUGAUUCAUGCCAGGUUGUAUUGACCUUAUCAGCUUGCAAUUUGGUUUUGGGUCUCUUUUUGAUUGCACUUUUCGGUUAACAAGUCAAGCAUCAAUUUCCUUUGCUGUAAAAAGGUAAGAGGAAGGUGGCUUCAAUUUCGGUUGAAGUGUUUAUAGCCUUUUAUCUCUGCAGUCGGGGAGAUUGAGGUCUGCAGCGUAGAUCCUUCGGGGCUAGAUACAUUUAUGCUAAGUUAUAGCUUUUCAUAGACAACUUGUUGACUAUGUUUAGUCAUGUAGCUUACUCGUUAGUGCUAUUUUACCUAGCGCUUAGGAUGUUGACACACGCGCGUGCUCG
rnacentral:rRNA from 1 species